UCUUCGUUAAAUACAAAAAAAAAUAAAUAAAUAAAAAACAUAUAUAAAUGAAAUAUAAUAUUAUUAUAUUAUUAAUGAAAUAAAUUCAACCAUUUUACAAUCCAUCAUGGAUUCAAUUAAAUGAUGUCUCUAUAAAUGUCUCGUACAAACGUGAGAUAUCGCAAUAUGUUGAACAAUAAAGAUAGAUUGUAACGACAUCUUACACGAGACAUCAAUCUUAAUAAGAUAGAAAUUAUAAAGAAGCAACAUUCGCAUAAUUCAAUUCGUUUCUCGAAAUCACUUAAUUCUUGGUAAAGUCUUAUUAAUAAACGGAUUCACAAUAUAAUUCUGUCUUUGUUUGUUAAUUGUAGUCACUGAUCACAUUGCAUCGCACGAUCUGCGAAAUCUUCAUCGCCUUGACUUCAAAAUAGUGACCUUCGUACUUCGUAUUUAAUUUCUUUCUCUCGUGAAAUAAUAUCGUGAUAAUGCUUAUUUUCUGAAAUAGUUGAAGAACCUAACAAUAAAAAUAAUAUUAAAAUUUUGACACGAAACACGAUCAAACGAAAGCAUCACGUAACGCGAAGCCGCGGCAUAAUCCGCGAGGUGGUUUCGCGAGGAGAAGGAAGGCAAAAGAAACCGGGUAUCGGGUCGCAUCUGGCAUCUGCAAUCAACACUCGCAUGGUUCCAGUGACGUCACGUCCGGUCAUCUGCCGAAUAAGCAGAAACCGCGUAACCAGACUCUAUCUACGGGAAAUGAUUUCGAAAAAGGAGCGGUCAACGGAGAGCACGUGUCGUGCAAAACGAAUACGGAGAUUUGGUUAAAUUUUGUAAUCUAAUUAAAAUUAAUAAUCUACUUUAUAUCUAUUUUAACGGAUAUAUAUUCAUAUAUAUUCUACAUACAGAAAUUAAUAUUAAUUAAUAUUAAUAAUUAUCAUAAUUUUAUAUAAAAAUAUUUUGUUUUUUUUAUCUAUUACUUUUAUUUAUAAUAUAGUAAUUGAUUGUGAAUCUAAUUCAUUUUAAUAUUUUUUUAAACUCCUAAAUACAUAGACAAAAAAGAUCAGAA